GGAUGCGAUCAUACCAGCACUAAAGCACCGGAUCCCAUCAGAACUCCGAAGUUGAGCGUGCUUGGGCGAGAGUAGUACUAGGAUGGGUGACCUCCUGGGAAGUCCUCGUGUUGCAUUCG
rnacentral:rRNA from 1 species